UUCUCUUCCUGAAGCAAAUAUUACAAAAUAACUUCUAAAAUGAACACGAACUGUUUAAGAUUCUAGUAUAGGUGCCUAGCCCUUAGUGUUCCCCUGUUACGAGCACUGCUUGAAGGCACCUCAGAUGAGCAUGAUUGCCUGACAAAUAAUAGAGACGAAUUCCUUUCAAAAGUUCUUUGAAUUAUGAAAAUGGUACCCAAACACUGGCUGACAACUACUCAUUCUGGGGGACAUACAAGAUUAUAUCUGAGGGGAGCAGAGAGAUGGCAACUAACCUAUAAUCCUAGAAGUAUUCAUGUGCACAAGAAGAGGCUAUCCUAAUCUGUUCUUUGCAUCUGUCUAUGAAGAGUUUUGGUCUGCCAGGAUAACCAGAGCUCAUCUAUUUAGCAAGUUGGCCUGAUCUUUUUUUUUUUUUUUUUAACUCCACAAACAACUUGCCAUCAAGGACACGUGGACCCAUAUUUGUAUAAGGAAUAUCAUUAUAUACAUAUCUGGGAGCAAAGCACAGAGAUACAUACCACUGCUUCUUGCAUUUGAUUGUUGAAUUCAAUCAUCUUAUGGAAUAAAAAGCACUGCCACCACAUAUGCUCUUGUACCAGACCCACAUCCCCUCUCUUUAUCUGCAAUGCUGUCAUCCAGUUGUGCUGCUGGCAUGUCUCUUUAAGUUUGAAUUGAUCUGCUGAGGAGUAUGCCUGAUGCUGUUUGAGUAAAUGCUGCAAGCUGUGUCUGAAGCAGUGGGAGGUGAUGUGUUCUCAUAGUGUCUUAAUACUGACAAUCUUAAUUUCAGGUGAAUCAGUUUUAACUAACUUCUUCCUGUUCUGAUCCCUUCUAGAGUGCAGAAAGCCCUCCAUGUUGUUGAACAUGCCAGGUGGGACAACUUUGACAGGCUCUUGUAUGAGACUGAAAGCCAUUCACCAGUGCUUUUUUUCUACAGGUGGUACACAGCCUGUACUAGCUCAGUAAAAGCUUGCGCUUCUGUAAGUUCCAUCCCUGAAGAAGAGAGCAGUUGCUAUCUGACAAGCAUAUCCAGAGAGGAGAGAAUACAAAUUUGCAUUAGUCAUACCAAGACCUCAAAGACCUGAAAAGGUAUUCCUCUUUUUUUUUUUUUUUUCCUUCUACCAAAUUCUUCUUGUUUGUUGCAUCAUGUCCCUUAUGUCGUAUUGUCUGAGUGAUUCUUGAAUCUUUUUAUGGUUUGGAAUUUAAAUUUUAUGGUUUGGAAUUUAAAUUAAAAAAAAAAAAAGUGUUUUCAUACUACUUUACUGAUUGUAGGAACCUGUGCUAUUCUUUAAAAGAAAAACAAGUAAUUAAGGCAGAGGAGAAGGUACAAAGAGGAGGACAGAUGCAGACAGAAAGCUACAAAGAAGGAUAUGAACAUUUUUAUUGCAACAUUUUAUACAUUUUGACAAAAAUUAUUCUUCGUGAAUAUAUCCUAUAUUGCUAAAAACACAUAGACAAAUGUAAAAAGGACAUCUCUACACAUAUUUGAGUUAAAUACCUUUAUUGUCCUAUUAAAUAAUAUCUUAGUUCUACCAUGGAUUUUCUGGGACUGUUAUAAAUGUACCCAGGAUAUAAGCAAGCCUGCCUCUCAGAGACUAUAACAUCUUUUCAGACUUCCCUGCCCUACUUCUUUACUCAUGUGACAUUUUAAAACUCAUUACAUUCAGUAGGAUGCUGGACAAGAAAUGGUGUUUUUAACAUUUGGCAUGCAAUAGCUUCCAAAAGUAAUAAUUACAUAGAUUGCAUGCCUCUAUGAGAAGAAAGGGAUUUGUAACUUUUUUUUUUUUUUUUUUUAACUUUUACAAUCUGAGAUUUUGCAGGAUUGUAAUAGGGUUUUGCUUCUUCCCUUCUCUUCCUAAAAUUCAAGAGAUAUGCAUUUUUCCCUGAGAGCACUCCAUAGGGCAGGCCAGGGAAAUAAUAUUAAGACUACAGAGAGAAUUCCUAGCACUAUGACUUUGAAAUUAGAAGUAAUCUGUAUUUUAUCAUCUGAAUAUUGAAUUAGAAGCAAUCUGAAUUAUUUAUGAUCUGAACACUGACAUGUAAAUAGCCUUGUUAAACAUGUUCUUUUCCAAAUGAUGGCAUAGA
rnacentral:lncRNA from 1 species